GAAGGGGAUGCCUAGAGACUCUGUAGUCAUACUCAUAGUUUUAUUUUCGAGUUUCUCUUUUAGUUAGUUUAAUCCUUUAUAUUUUAAGUACGUUUUUGGUUUUCGUGUAAGGGAUGUUAACUGAAAUUUUGAUCUCGCUUCCGCAUUUUAUGUGUUUAAAUACUCAUUUCAUUUUCACAUUUCCGGGGUCGUUACAGUUGGUAUCAGAGCCGCGUUUCCUCGGACCCAUCCCUUACACAAUAGUGCCUUAGAGUAAUACUCACCACUAUAUCGUUACUCAAUCAUUUCUUGUGAAUGUAAGUACACGAGAAUGAGGAGAGGAAAGCCCCCACUAAACCGAACGGCCCAAGAUAAUUCGCUUCGGGAGGAUUUAGACAUACUAUUUGAGAUGGUGGAGGCUCUCGUAGCUGCCUAGCAAAGGCAAGAGGAGAGAAGGGAGUUACCCGGACCUCCUCCGCUAGCGCAGGUUGAGCCCCCGCUACAGCAGGCUGAUCCCGAGCCACCCCGGCAGGAGCCUGUUCCUCCACAGUACCACCCGGUACCACAGCCGCAGUACCACCCGGCACCACAGCCGCGGUACGACCCAGUACCACAGCCAUAGUACCAACAGGUGCCGCCACAGCACAUUCCAGUGCCCCCACCACAUCAGCAGGUGCCACCACAGGGUCCCCCAGUUCACCCUCAGCCGGCCCCAGUCCCUCUACCUCGGGACCCCGCUCCUUCCUUGACCGACCCUGCUACCGCCUCAACAACACCUGUCGCAUAUGCGGCAGUGCCCAGCACUUUGCAAGGGAAUGCCCCAGGAACCAGAAUCAGAGAAUGCCUCCAAUCCAGGGCAGAGUUUACAACCUUACGCAGAAGGAUGCCGACGCAGACCCGGACGUGGUAC
rnacentral:lncRNA from 1 species